UGCAGUAAUAAUAUAUAUAAUAUAUAUUUACUUUAUAUAUAUUCAGUAUUUGUCUUAAUAUAUAUAUUCAUUUAUAAACGACGGUUAGAUUAUUCAAUUACAUCUCGGUAUUAAAACUCCUCUCGCCCUGUCUCUCUUUCGUUCUCGCUUCACACACAGGCAAACACGUACGCGCGCGCGCGCGUUCGCUCGUUUUUGGCUCUUCUAUCAUUGUAGUAGUUUUUAAUAGUACACUUAAUGCUCUCGUGUUGUCGUGAGGCAGGAUUUUCGGUAUUCCCUUUUUGUUUUUAUACGCUCUCUUUUUUUGCUCUUCUAAUGCAAACUGCUGGACAGGCCGACCUGUAACGAUCCGAUCGGCCGAAAGUUUACAUAUACGUCUUCCACGUUAACAUGUACCGUUGAUCUACGCAGAAAGUUUUAGCAUUCUUUUUGAUUCUCUGUGUUCUCCCGUUUUUCCUCUUUGAUUACGCUGUGCGUCGACAACGACUGUGGCGCAAAUCGGUGAUGCUUCUCGAGGUUUCGCGUGUUUCACGAUCAUUUUUGUUUUAUUUCGUUUCUUUUCCUUUCUCUCCCCCUCUCUCUCUCUCUCUCUCUCGAAAACUGAAUCGCGAGCCUUUAAACCCAUCGCCGGUUUCCCUUCUUUUUAUUUCUUUUUAUAUGUGUGAUUGUGACUGUGCGUCGUUGAUCUGUGUACCGAAGUCCCGCCACUCACGAUUCAAAAGAAGCGUGGGAUUUCUCGUUUUCAUUUUUUUUUUCUUUUUUAACGAACAACAUCGACAUUUAACGUAGCAAGUACGGACCGCACGGGCCCCUCUGACUCUCUGUACACCAUAUACUCAGUUUUGUAUAUAUAUAUAAAUAUAUAUGAGCGUACGUAUACAUACGUACGCAGCGAUACAUAUAUGCACGUACGCUACCAUCUGAGUCAAAUAUCCGUGUAUGUGUAUAAUAUCGCCUCUCCAUAUAUUCAAUAUAUAUAUGUAUAUAUUAAAUAAAAUGGUAUGUAUAUAUAUGUAAUGCGCAAUGUAAUCGCUAGUUUAAUGUAUAUAAGUAUCGCUCCAACGUAAUACUGAUGCGCAGACGCUCGUUGAUCUGGCUAAGCCGUUCGGUUUGCAAUUAGCUCCUACGAUCGGACUUAAUCCCGAUAACUCGAGUUCGUUUAUUCGCUGUUCUCGCAACUCGCCUCGACGCUACGUUUCGCCAGACUAUGAAUUCGGUGAACGCGGUUUUUUUACCUGCACAAAGAGGAAUCGAAAAUUCUACGUUCCGCAAUUAUUUUCGACAAAUGAGCGCUACGUGAAACUUUUGCUCUAAUUGCAGAUCGAUGAACCUUCGCGUUCCAUCGAAAUGGUUUCGCUCGUCGAAGUAGCAUUUACUUCGAAAAAAUCAAUGUUUAUUGAAGCUUGACGGCGUGUAAGAGAAUUAUGAGUCACUAAAUCGAUGAAGAUCAGAUUGAUAGAUUGACUAGUCGUAGAUUGUACAGAUUGCCGAAUUAGUGGACACUCCUAUAUAAGCUCUCCACGCGAUUUCACCAAAAAUUUCGUAUCCGCCGGCGUGGAUUUACGCAACAGAGAAUUCUCGGAGUCCUCGCAUUCGCAGAUAAUUUAUCGCGUCGUUUUGUGCUGUUCCUUCGUCGUCGAAGACUAAUGUGGCGGAGUUGCUUCUCUUCAGUGGGGUUCUGGAGGCCUCCUUUGGGGUUUCUUCUCCUCUUCGUCGACGGAUCUGUUUUCGUUCGGUGAUAUCACUUUGAUAGGCUCCAGAUUAAAUUAGGCUUUCGUCGGCAACUCGAUACCACAUCGCACUUGAAAUUGACUGAACUGUGCUUAAAUAUGUAAACAACGCAUUGCAGCUUCCUGCCAAGAGCCAAUUGCGAGAUUAUUUGCGAAAAAAGUCCUCUCAGAGAAUGAGAGUUAGAUAAGAUGAUAAGAUGAAAUUUUGUGAAUCGCAGUACAAUUGAAAUCAGUCCAAAUUAAAGACAGACAUACGCUAGACUAAAGUAUUUAAAUAAAAUUAACGUAAUUUUACAUCAGAAAAAUCAUAGUCAAUUAAAUAAAAAAAAGAUCUCGAGAAUUCUCGCGAUCACUCGUGGAAGACAACCGCAGAGCGUUUCUUUAUCGAGCUUUUCAAAGCAGAACUUAGCCGGCCAGCUGUAGUUAGCCCACGCGUACUUAUAACACAUUUAAUAAUAUAUUGUCCAUAUUGCUUAUGGCACCGACUUUUGAGCGAUUUUAUUACACAGUCCGGAUACGAGAGAUAAUUGUGUUUGGCUUCGUCCGAGGCCGCGUCUCUUUUGAGCAAAGACAAGAAUCUGAUUAAGUGAUUAAGUUCAUCAAGUAGCUAAGAUAACGUGAAUCCUCUAAAUGUAUAGGUAUAUUUAUAGAUAAUAUCUAGUUGAGCAGAGGAAGAUGAGAAAACAACGAUAGUACAAACGCGUCGCUUGAUUAUAUUGCUACUGAGAGCACGUGCUUCUCUUUCAUUCUAUCAGAAUUAUUGCAAUAAUUUAUACGAGCGAAGGGAGCGUAAUGUGUACAUUUUUUUUUUCACUUUGAAUGACGUCUACUCAUUCUGUACUUUAAUUCCCAUACGAACUAAGCUAUGACACAAUCUAAAUAGUAAAUUAUACUUUUGAAUCUAACAAUGGAAAUAAGUCUAAGACACAUAUUUUAGGGAGUACGUGAAAGAUUAACGUUUACGUACGUAUAUUAACAUGAGAUACGGAAAAUAUAUGAAAGAUAUUAAAUGUUUAAUACAUGGAAAUACAAAGUCGCAUGUUUACGCAGUUGUAAUUGUCAGAACUCGCGCUACGCAUGCCAUUUUUUUUUUUUUUUUAAUCAUGAUGUUUGUUCUCGUAUAAAUCUCGAUGUGACGUGUGCGUGGCUCCCCUACAGCUGACCAUGUUCUAGUACAUUAAAAACACUAUUAACAAUACGUUUCGUAGUAAAAGUUAAUAGAGAAUAGUAUAACAUCAAAUAGAAGAGUAUAAAGAACCAUGCUGGCGUAUAGAGAUAGACAUUAAAGUAGGUAAUAGGUAAGAGGACGAUAGAUUACGAUAUCAAUAAUCCGUAAUAACGCUUUCUUCACUUAUUAAGAGUAAUUUUGCAUAAACGUUGAUGAUCAUUUAGUAGACUUUUUUUCUCUUUAAUACAAUAUUUUGAGCACAUUCCUCAGGUGUAUAACCACGCUACACUUUCUUCAUCGAGUUGUACCAAUAUAUAUUUCCACAACUUAUUAAAACGUCACCAGUACGAAAUCAUUUAAUGAUUAUCAAGAGCCUCGUCAACGUACGAGCCAUGGCGUGCAUUGAACAUUCUGUAGGAAAUACUGCGCGAAAUUUACUUAAACGCGAGAGUACAAGUAAUAAUAUAGUUACUAUAUAACUGUAAUUAUCUCAAAUAAUGAAUAAAUUAUCGAUAAUAAUGAAAUUAACUUAAUAUAUCAAAACAUCACUAACCCUGCAACCAUUUGUUUCUAAAAAACGAUGAUACGUCCUUAAAUAUUCGUUGCCGAGAAAAGAUGUCCGGUUUACAUUUUGUACGAUUAUAUGCCUGAUCAUUAUGCGCUUUCUUCCCUCCAAUAGUAAUCUCAAUUAUUUUAUAUGUGUAAAUUUGCAAUUUGACCUGCAACUGCGAAUGCGGGAUGUCAGUAUCCUUUUUAAUUAUUAAUAGUAUCGAUAGAGUGUUAGUACAAUAAUAUAAUAAAGGGAGUCGCCUAUGAUAAAAACAAGCACGAAAUUAUUAAUCACGAUUAAUGUCUUUUGUCAGCUUGUUAUAGGAUUUCGAAGAUAAAUGUAAAUAAAUAUUUUAACGAAUUAAAACAUUUGUGUGACGUCAACACAAGUCUAAACGUGACGUGACGUUAACUUAAACAGGAGUAAUAUAACAACAACAGAACAGACAAUUUUCGAUAUGGUAUGAACUGUUCAUACAAUAGAAUGUAAAUUAUGAAACAACACAAUUGUUUAAUAAUUGUCAAUGAGUGCAAAAUGCUCCAUUUGCACAGCCAUUAAGUUAAGUGUUAAUUGGUAACUUCAAGUUAAUCGUCUAAUCACAUACACGUACGAGAGCGCGGAAAUGAAAAUUUUAUCAUAUACAAAUUUGUCGAUGAUUAGUUCAGAUCCAUUCACUCGAUGUUAUCGCUACUUGAUUUAUGGCAGUACAAUAUCGGUACAACUCACUAGUUGAUGGCACGGGUCCGCCUAUGUACAAAUAUGUAAUACCAUAUACCACAUACCAUUUAAAUACAUCACAUAGUUAUCAUUUUGUUAUAUAUAUAUUCUUCAUAUAGAUAUAUCAUUUUUUUUCUGUGACGUGGAGGGACUCGUUUGUACAAUUCAUGCAUAUCUUCGUUUCAUUGCUUCGUUUCGUGCCUUUCCCACAUUCUGAGUAAGUAGCCUCCAGUACCGUAUGCAUCUCGUAUUGCUACUGUUCUAAAUCCAGAGUAUACAGUUUGUCUUGGCAUAAAAAUAAAAUAAAAAACGCAUAUUCAAACGUAGAUUAGCUUCAGUUUUCGUUCACAUGAAAUUUGUGUGAUGCAAUUAAAAACAGCGUGUAGAUUUGAAUUCAUUUUAAUAAAUAAAAAAUAUGGGCAUAAUCGGGCUAUAAAAAUAAUUUAUUGUUACAAUUAUCCGAUAUCUUCUGGAUUUGAUCAGCCAAUAAGUAUCAUCUCUUCGUUUCAUUUAUUACUACCUACGACGUUCCUUGAAGCUCUAAAUCUGAUUAAGAGUUAGAUUACAUAUAAUAAUAAUUAUAUUAGUAGAAACUUAGUUUCUGUAACAAGUGUAUUGUCUUAAAUGAUAUGUCUGCUAAUUUUGUUGUAUUCGACCUACGCACCGAGCCUUUCUCUCCUACUCUUUUUCUCCCAGUGGUCGGAAUUCAUAACAAUUUUACUCCUUAAAUGAACUAACUUUAAGAUUCCAAAUUCUAAAAUCUUACGUUAUAGUAUAUAGAUCUCUAAUACUACACUUUAAUUCCUGUACUGGAGGCUAUUACUCAGCCGUUACAGAGGAUUAUUUAUUUUAAUAUGGUUCUAUAAAGGAGUAUUUCCAUGAGCUUUUAAAAAAUUAUCGCAUUUAUAUAAUAAUAUACCCCCCUACAAAUAUAAUUUUACGAUAUCACAAACGAGAAGAAUUACAGUAGAUACAAAUUUUAAUUUAAUAACUUUACGUGUAUACGGCUAUAAUCGCGAAUUAGGUUUCUAUUAAUUGCAUUAACAUAUACCGAUGAAAAUUAUUGUUAUCUAAUAUCGUAUAUAAUUAUUAUAGGUCGCGAAAUUUAGCAAGGAUGGCAAAUUACUAGCUCUUCAAUGCCAUGUAAAAAUUAGUACCCCUGGUAAUACUCCCUCAUAUAUUAGUUUCAUAUCUGUAAAUAAAUCGAUAAUGCAGAUGUUGUGGCCGGAAUAUUUGAUGUUUAGUUUGCAUUACAUUUUUGUAAAUCGGGAAGAAGAUUAAUGAGACACACACACAUAAAGAUAGAAUAGAGAUUAAAGUAUAGAUUUUUGAAUGUCCAAUGUGUCAUAAGGGAAAGUGCUUUCCAUUGCUGACAAUUAGACAUUCGUUUACUACCAUAGCUUUUCUGAUUGAAAUAAAUGGAAGAUUUUAAAGCCGUUCUUACGAAUUUGUGAAGAAUUGGCAGAUUUUUUUAUAGCGUCCUCAGUCACUUGAGAAAAGUUUAAAAAGUUAAAGUGUACGCUGCGAUUCGUUCAAUAGUAAAAGUUAAUAAGAAGAAGAGUGUUAACAAUAACAAUAUUUUAAGGUAGAAUUAGAGCAUCUACGAUUGGCAACUCUCUUGAAUAACAAUUUAGAGUUUCAAUAUAAAUGAAACUUGGUAUAAAUAUAGUUUUAAUCUUUAUAAAAUUUAGUACAUUUACACUUAUCUUAAUAAAAUGCACACUGCUUUUGUUCUGAAUGAUUGUGAGAGAGAUGUUCCUAUAUAUAUAUAAAUAUAUGAAAAACUAAACAGAAACUAGAAUUUAAAUAGGCAAGCGUAGCCGAAAAACGGAAGAUGUAAACCGUGUAAUCUUGAUCAGAACGUAUAUUAAACAUUUUUUUCGAAAAUAAAAAAAAAUAGUAUUAUACAAUUUUCGAUGUUUAGAGUUAUUUUUUUUGUUUUUUAGUGAAAAAAAUUAGUAAAAAAAUACAAUAUUAACGAGGGAGUAGAGAAUUAUACGUAUUAUUAUCAUACUAAAUAAAAAAUAAAUUUUUUUUGAUUGCGUAAGGCACCUUACAUAUAGGAACAUCAUUAUAAGAAUUUUUGAACGGGAAAUAAAAAUCCGUAGUGGAUUGUGGAAAUGUGCGACCAGUCAUUAUCAAAGUACGUAUCUUCCAUUGUUUUUACAAGAGCCUCGCCACGUAGUCUCUAGUAAGGUAGAAAAUGAAGCCAAGUAUAUAUACUUUUCUUUAUAUAUAUGUAUAGAUCCCUCCUAAAACAACCUAAAACCUAGCCUACUUACUUUGCAUAGAGUUCAUUUUAAUUGUACAUACAGACACUGACGUUAUAUGUACAGACAUGUACACAUCUUAUGUACAUAUAGCUAUUUUAAUGAUCAUCGAAGUUGAAAUAUUAUUCAAUAAAUGUUCUCUAUUCUGUGUCUGUUUUGGGUGCGCGUAUGUAUGUAUGUAUUGGCGUAUAUGUAUAUAAUUGUUAUUUUACAUUGAGUUUCGGCGACGCGGGAAACGCCACUGAAGUGAAACUUGAACAAUGUCCUUCCUAGAGAAUUAUUUGCCUAAGCUAACGAGUUUCUUUUCAAUUACAUCAAUAUUUGUGUUUAUACAUAUUUAUAUUUAUAUAUAUAUAUAUAUAUAUAUUUAUAUAUAUAUUUAUAUUUAUAUCGUAUAUAUUAAAAUUUUUUUAUUCAAUUAUGUACUAUUAAUCUACUAAGUAACAGAGGUAAAGAAAUUAAGGAGUUUCAACAAAUCUACGUACGCAUGAUAAGACCCACUUAUUCUCAUCAAGUUUUGGAUACGCUAAUAUUUAAACUAAAUGUAACUAGAGCGAACGUGCAACAAGUCAUACAUUACACUCCGGGAUCUGUGUAUGCGAACCGCAAUUUAUCCUAUUAUUUUAUCAAGUGUUUAUUCAAAUUAAACUAACAUUAACAUUAAACGCAAUUUUUAUCCAGAAAAAACUAAUAAUGUCGCAUCAUUUUUAACGACCACUACAAAAUUUGUAAACUAAAGUAUACAUCGAAAUGUAGGCUCUCAGAUUCAACCGAUCAUAAAGAGCUGGUAAGAGUCUAAAUUGCAGUUAUCAAUGUAUUAAAUACACCGCCGAACAUUUUGAUCCUUUUAGACCUUUCUCAAUGGCAAUCUGCCUUGUUAGAAUUUUGUAUAUUAUGAGACAAACGUUUUAUCGCAAAUUUAGCUGCAAACUAGACACUACCAGGGAAACAGAACAGACAAUGCGCACACAAAAACACUCGAGUGUACGCAUAAAAGUUCUUCACUAACAAAAAAAUACGGCUCGAAUAAGCUGAUCCCGGUUGUAACGAAUUGAAGAAAGAAACAACCUAAAACAUUUUUAAAAAAUUGCGAAAGGGCAACAGGUAACAGUAAUGUCUUGUGGCACAAUCUGGGAACAUUUCGCGUGCAAAAUAAAUAAGUACACCGAAAUCGCGUUUAAUCAUUAGCGCGCUUAUUGUAGGUGCACGUCAAUCUCCAUCAGUUUUGUCAGCACUCAUUGUGGCGAAAGUACGUUUCCGCAUAUUCACAUAUUAAGUUGUGUAUUUGAUUUUUCUAGGCCAUGUUGAACGAUCGUGAUUACAUCUCGUCUUCCAAAAAAAA